GAUGAACGCUGGCGGCGUGCUUAACACAUGCAAGUCGAACGGUGAAGCUCAGCUUGCUGGGUGGAUCAGUGGCGAACGGGUGAGUAACACGUGAGCAACCUGCCCCUGACUCUGGGAUAAGCGCUGGAAACGGUGUCUAAUACUGGAUAUGUACCACGAUCGCAUGGUCUGUGGUUGGAAAGAUUUUUCGGUUGGGGAUGGGCUCGCGGCCUAUCAGCUUGUUGGUGAGGUAAUGGCUCACCAAGGCGUCGACGGGUAGCCGGCCUGAGAGGGUGACCGGCCACACUGGGACUGAGACACGGCCCAGACUCCUACGGGAGGCAGCAGUGGGGAAUAUUGCACAAUGGGCGCAAGCCUGAUGCAGCAACGCCGCGUGAGGGAUGACGGCCUUCGGGUUGUAAAGCUCUUUCAGCUGGGAAGAUAAUGACGGUACCAGCAGAAGAAGCCCCGGCUAACUCCGUGCCAGCCGCCGCCGUAACAC
rnacentral:rRNA from 1 species